rnacentral:rRNA from 1 species
CCUGAGAAACCCAAAAGAUCGAAUGGGGAGAUUCAUCGUCAGCGGUGCUGGCACGUGGGCGGCUCGCGAUGCAGCGCGACCUCGCGGUCGCGCGGGCACGCGGCCGUCCAUCGAUUCGCGUUGCCCGGCACCGUCGGCGUGCACUUCUCCCCUAGUAGGACGUCGCGACCCGUUGGGUGUCGGUCCACGGCCCGGGUGGGAGCCUGUCUCGUGUGCGCCUCGCGGCGUUUCCAGCGUGUCAGACCACCCGGUCGCCCGACCGGCUGCCCGGCGGUACUCGCACGGUAUAUGGCCGCAAUGUAAUCUCGAACGCUGCGUCCGGCCCGUCGUCAGCGUGGCAAGUGGUUCCCGGUGCGAGCGGAUCCGAGGCCGCCAUCGAGCCUGGCCAGCUGUUUGCUCGACGGUGUUAUCACCUAGGACUGGCCAAUCGAAAGAUUCAACGUUACCGGUCGGCGACGCUACUGCUUUGGGUACUUUCAGGACCCGUCUUGAAACACGGACCAAGGAGUCUAACAUGCGCGCGAGUCAUUGGGAAUGACUCAAGCCCAAAGGCGCAAUGAAAGUGAAGGUCGGCCCCGCGCCGACCGAGGGAGGAUGGGCCGCGUUCUCGUGACGCGGUCCCGCACUCCCGGGGCGUCUCGUUCUCAUCGCGAGGAGAGGCGCACCCAGAGCGCGCAC